rnacentral:rRNA from 1 species
UACGUAGGGUGCGAGCGUUGUCCGGAAUUACUGGGCGUAAAGGGCUCGUAGGUGGCCAACUAAGUCGGACGUGAAAUCCCUCGGCUUAACCGGGGAAUGGCAUCCGGUACUGGAUGGCUUGAGUUUGGGAGAGGGACGCGGAAUUCCUGGUGGAGCGGUGAAAUGCGUAGAUAUCAGGAGGAACGCCGGCGGCGAAAGCGACUCUCUGGCCUGUAACUGACGCUGAGGCGCGAAAGCUAGGGGAGCAAACGGG